rnacentral:lncRNA from 1 species
UUUAACUCAUACAUGCUUGUGAGCCUCAGAGGCUGGGGGGACCCAUGUCUGACCCUCUCUGUAUCUCUCCCAGGACCCAGUCUGGGGCUUGGCUCAUGAUAAACAUAAAAUGAUAGGAAUUAAGAAUGUUAGAGAGGGAAGGAACAUCCGGGAUCUGGCUGUGUCACUUCUUCCCUGCUCAAAUAUUUUCAAUGGCUCCUCAUUAACAGCAGGAUAAAUUGCAAGCCCCUUGGCCAGAUAUUAGUGACUUUCAGGUCCCGGGGCCCCAGCCCAUCUCUCUGUCUUCACUCUGGUCACACACCCCCGUGUUCCCCGCUCUCCAGCCCCUAGUCGCACAGGACUCACUGUCCCCGUCGGGGUUCCUCUGGAGAGGCAGAAUCCCUAGGAAUGAUAGCGAAUCGGGAUAAAUGAUAGGGAGUUGACUUUGCACAAUUAUAGGAGCAUAACAGCCACAUAGAUGGUUUAUGCACAGCUGUGGCCACUGCUUCUGAUGCCAGGUCUGAGGUCAGCAGGGCAGGCAAUAGAGAAGGACAAUGGUCAGAAGUUGUGGAGAACAAGGGCAAGCUGGACCCCCCAAGAACAAACUGGAACCCACACUGCUCUCUUACUAUGUCUGAGCCUCUGGCUUCCAUCAUGCAGUUGACCUGGAGGAGAAGCUGGAGACUUUGUUAAAGAAAUUGACCUAAGCGAUGAAGAAAUUGAAGAAAAUCCAGUGGGAAGUGGCACAGGAACUCAGCCCUCUUGGUUAUUUGUGAAGCAGUUUCAGGGCCUCAUAAUUCUACGGUUGCUGGCUGCACAUGAAACUGGUGGGAGAAGAUGUGGGCUGGGAACUGUCUUUGGGGAAAACACCUUGAUAAGCGUCUGGGAGGCUCACCAGGCUCCGUGGGCUGGGUGUGAUAAGGAGGAGAGAUUUUGGCUCAGGAAAGAAUGUUCUCACCCUCUGGGAGGCCCUGAGCACCCUCCUUAUGAAAGAGAGUGUACAAGCCUGGUGUGUUUCUAAGUUCCUGGCCUUCCUGAUAAGUCCCGAAGGCCCACAUCAGAAAAAGAGGGUUACGGUGCCCUGAACCAGAAGCCGGGCAACAUGAGGCAGCCACAGUGGACAGAUGUCAAGGACCCGCGCCCAAGCAGAACCAUGCAGCGGCACAUUGACAGCAGUGACGAGCCAGCCGGCAGCAUCCCCGAGUUCCUGGACAAUCCAAGAGUGUGAUCCAGGCUUCCUGUCAGUGUGGGCUGAGAGGGGGUGCGGCUGGUUUGAACUGAACUUGAAGAAUGGAGCUAGGAUAAGAUUUGCUGCCAGAGGGGGUGCAAGAGUCUCUAUUUGUCACACCAGAACUUAGAAGAAGAGAGGGCUGCUGGUUCCUGGUGACACCUGGGGGAAUCAGGGGCAGGUUGUGUCCACCCACCGCAGCCAAGCACCUUGUCCCCCACCCACUUCUGCUCCAAGCUGUGACUCUCAGCAUCUCUCAACCUCUCAAGCCUCACAGGAAACUCCGAGACCUGACUCUGCAUGAGCAAAGCAGACCCAGGCAAGGAGGAGGCCACGGGGCAGGGCUCAGCCCCCAAUCAAGUGUCCUGGGGCUCUGGAGAAGCCACAGAGGUGGCAGGGAGCGGGAGGCUGUACAGAGAGAGGAAGGAAAUGAGCUGCCAGCAGUCUGUGAAGGCUCAAAAUGACUUAUGAAGGGAAGGUCUUGGCGGGGCUGGAACAGGGAGGGUGUGAACAGCAUUGCCGAGACUAGAGGUUCAGAAGGCCACCAAGACUGCUCGUCUUGCAGACAGGCCGUUUCUCCCCACAUUGGCGAUGAGGAAGAGCAAGCAAAGAUGUUAGGGGAGCCGGCCAAAGCUCUGUGCAGAGAGGCUUAGAGUGGAAAUGUGUCACCUCUCCGGUUCACGGUUCCUCACCUUCUAGAAGCCAGUCAGCAUUCUUGGUGACCUUGACUUCCAGGCCCCGUGUGGUUUCUGUCGCUAGAAGAACACAGACUCAGCAGUCAGGCCAGCGAGUGUCUGAGUCGCAGCUCCGUCACUUACUAGCACUGCUUGGGCAAAUCACUUGAGCUCUCUGAGCCUCAGUUUCCCCAUCUGUAAAAUGGGGAUUAUAAUAUUUGCCAGAUAGGGCUGUCGUGGAAGUCAACAGAAAUAGAAAGUGAAAGCAAUUUGUCAUAAUUGUCUCUGAUCAAGACUUAAGGAAUGAGCAUUUGCUCUGUGCCAGCCCUGCUCCUGAAUUAUCUCAUCCAGUUCUCUCUGUAGUCUCUCUUGACAGAUGAGAGAGGCAGAGCCCAGAGAGGCAGAGUGAUUUUCCCAGGGUUUCUCAGCUUUAAAGUGGCUGAGCCUGGCCUGAAACCCAGGCAGUCCAGCAUCCAGGUUCUAGAUGUCUCCCUAUACUUCGGAUACAAAGCAGCUUGUCAUUGGUGCCAAAUGUGAGGCUGCAAUCUACAGUGGGAAUAUGAAGAAAGGAAGCAUCGUUUUGAGAAAGCUUCUUGGAAGGUACAGGAUGUGAGCUGAAAUUUUCCAAGGAAAAGCAGGAUAUCAGCAGGAGGAAGCGGGAAGGGGAGGCAUUGCCAGGCAGCGGCUGCAGCUGGAGCAAAGCAGGGAAGUGGGGGCACAGAGGCAGACUGGAGAGCGACUGGUAGACCAUGUGGCUGCAGCUCCGAUCUCCAGGCGGAGAACUGAGCGGGAGCUUCACAGCUGGAGCUGUGUCCUCACAGAAAGGAGCGGUCCUUUUUCUCUCCAUCCUCAUUGCAAAUCCAUCAGACUGUAAGCUCCAUGAGGACAAGGACCGGGUCGGUCUCCUCCCGUGCUGCAGCCCCAAUGCCCAGCCUGGUGUCUGGCCUGUGGUAGACAUCGGACAAGCAUUUGCUGAAAGAACUGGAAGGGGGAGGGAGGUGGGCACAGUGCGGACUGAACGGGGCAGGACUGAAGAAGGAAAGGAGACCAGCCAAGAGGGAAGCUAUAGCGAUGAAGAGUGGGUGGACAGAUAGGGAUUUAUUAAAGAGGCCCCACCAAACUGACAGUGAAGGAAUAAAGCAAGGAUAAGCCAGCCCAUGAUGACAAAGAUGCCAGGAGAGGAGGCACCAGCAGAAAAAAGAUUUCAACAAAUCUUUGGAAGAUGAGAUGCUAAUAGAGAAGUGGCAAGCAAAUUCAUGGCUACAACCUCAAGUGUCUGCAGAGGGCAUAAGGAGGAGGAGGGAGCCAGAUGUGUCCUGAAGAAUCCCCAAGAGGCCCAGGUCUUGGAUGGACCAGGAAUGGUUGGAAGUCUGGACACAGAGCAGUUGUUCCCCAGGUCUUAUAGGUAUAGAUGACUAUACCCACAAGUUUAAGGGCAUCAGUUUCUUCUUGGAGGAAGAAACUAAUCCCCAGAGUAUGGACUUCCACUGAUGAUGAUGACAGGUCUGCACAUCCUUCAAUCACCUUUCAGUGGAGCCCAACCAUGAACAUCGAGCUUCCAAUGUCCCCAGGGUCACUGGUGCCUGCCUCCUUCACCUGGGUUGGCUCCAUUCUCCAGCUCUCUAGGGUGACCCCCAGUAGCUCCCAUCACUUCAACACCAAGUCCAGUGGAAGGGACAGUGCUCUUCCUCUGUAUCUCAAACCAAAAUCCUGGCAUCAAGCCCUAUUGGUCCUGAUUAGUCUG